AUUGAACGCUGGCGGCAGGCCUAACACAUGCAAGUCGAGCGGUAGAGAGGUGCUUGCACCUCUUGAGAGCGGCGGACGGGUGAGUAAUACCUAGGAAUCUGCCUGGUAGUGGGGGAUAACGUUCGGAAACGGACGCUAAUACCGCAUACGUCCUACGGGAGAAAGCAGGGGACCUUCGGGCCUUGCGCUAUCAGAUGAGCCUAGGUCGGAUUAGCUAGUUGGUGAGGUAAUGGCUCACCAAGGCUACGAUCCGUAACUGGUCUGAGAGGAUGAUCAGUCACACUGGAACUGAGACACGGUCCAGACUCCUACGGGAGGCAGCAGUGGGGAAUAUUGGACAAUGGGCGAAAGCCUGAUCCAGCCAUGCCGCGUGUGUGAAGAAGGUCUUCGGAUUGUAAAGCACUUUAAGUUGGGAGGAAGGGCAUUAACCUAAUACGUUAGUGCUUUGACGUUACCGACAGAAUAAGCACCGGCUAACUCUGUGCCAGCAGCCGCGGUAAUACAGAGGGUGCAAGCGUUAAUCGGAAUUACUGGGCGUAAAGCGCGCGUAGGUGGUUUGUUAAGUUGAAUGUGAAAUCCCCGGGCUCAACCUGGGAACUGCAUCCAAAACUGGCAAGCUAGAGUAUGGUAGAGGGUAGUGGAAUUUCCUGUGUAGCGGUGAAAUGCGUAGAUAUAGGAAGGAACACCAGUGGCGAAGGCGACUACCUGGACUGAUACUGACACUGAGGUGCGAAAGCGUGGGGAGCAAACAGG
rnacentral:rRNA from 1 species